GAUUCUUCGCUGCUUUCAUCUGGAGGUAUUUGGUGUAUCGCCACACGGGCUCCGUGCUUCUGGUCGAGUGGACGUAAACACAGGAAGACCGUGUCAGAAAUUAAUUAGUGAAUUAUAUGAAUGAGCCAGCGGUGAAAUUCUUUAACUUUUAAAUUAGCAACGAGAUAUUAUUCAACUACAUUGAUAUGAUGGACAACACAAAAUGAAAAUGAGAAGCAAAUAGUUAUACAGUGAAGCAACUCAAAGGAUAAGGAAUGGUACACGAGAAUGCAAUAAUGACUUGGAGCAGACGGACAGCCAGCAGUGAUGAGUGGAGUGUUGCGCAGUGUGGCAGUGUGAUCAUGGGCGGAUAUGAUGAUAAUAUUGAUGAUGCGGCAAUGAGAUAUUUUCAAAAGAGCAGCGGGAUAGUGAUCUAUAGAACAGUGAAAGAAACAACUGCGAAGAAGUAAUAAGUUAUGGACGUGCUGAGGAAACAAGGGAGUCUCACAAACCUGCUUCGGAGUUCAGCCAGUUUCAGGAAGCCAACGAAAAAAAAACUGUGCCCUAGUAUUUGUUUAUGAAUGAGCUCUGUCUAUGUAAAACAAGAAUACACUUGCGAAAUAAACGUCAUGAAUGUCUUUGAAUGAUGCGUCAUAACUACGAACAUGCUAUUUACCGUAUUGAAAUGUACUCAGCCUAAAAUACGCAAAAUAAGAAAUAAAAAUAUCUCGUUAAGUCUUCAUGUGUAAUGAUUGUAUAGAAAGAAGGGAUUGGGUUAUUUAUAAACGACAGUGGUAUUGAAUUAUUGUACACUAAAUUACGUCAGAAAAAAAAAAAAAACACAAGGCAAACCUGAACAGGUGUCACCUAACAAGUCCACCCCAUCUAGUUUCCUUACUUAUAUCAGAAAUAACGGGAAGUUGAAAAGUUAAUCACUCUUUACGAAGUUCAUUGGAAUUAUUUGGUUCCUGAAAGAGCUUAUCCAGCAGAUGUCGUUUAGAAAUACAGACUAGAGCUAUCAUCCCAUCAGUGGACAGGAUAUAAACUUGGGGGAAGGACUACCAAUGAAUAACUGAAAAGAAUAAGUGUUAGAACAAAGCCUUGACAGUUUUAAGAGAAGCGAUCAUCCUUCACGCCAGAACAGACCGGCCCGGAGAGAAACUAGAGAUGAACGUACACAAAGAGAACAGAAUCCGAAUGAGGGGAGUUUGGAAACUAAAAGAUUUAUGAGGAACUUUAUCGGAAGCCUUGGAAAUGUUUAUGACGAUAGCAAAGAUUUUAGUAAAUAUGAGUGCAUGAUGCUGCUUUUUCACAAUAUGCACAUUGUGAACAAAGGGGAUACUAGCUUAUCAAACGCACAGGUAGAGUUGCAUAUUAUGAAGGGGCUUUGCAAAUACAACCAUAGGGGCUUUACUUUUUAUCAAGCUGUGUACAUUAAUACUCCAUUAGUGCAAAGGCUCCCCAGGCAUCGAGAUGCAACAUUUGCUGUAGUAUGUUACAUCCUUCCUGACACAUCCAUGGAAUUACGUUGCCUUGACAUUUUGCGAGUAAUGCAUCAUAUUUCAUGGAAACGUUCAAUCUCAAAAUAUGAAAAAAAGAUACAACGUCGUGUAACAGAAGUAUAAAUUUUUGCUAGAUUCUUUGUAAAGAGACUAUACGUAAUUGUGAUUUAUUUUUUUUCCUUACUUUGUACACCCUUCAGAUUAUUAUAUAUAAGCAGU